rnacentral:rRNA from 1 species
UCGGGCCUCUUGCCAUCGGAUGUGCCCAGAUGGGAUUAGCUAGUAGGUGGGGUAACGGCUCACCUAGGCGACGAUCCCUAGCUGGUCUGAGAGGAUGACCAGCCACACUGGAACUGAGACACGGUCCAGACUCCUACGGGAGGCAGCAGUGGGGAAUAUUGCACAAUGGGCGCAAGCCUGAUGCAGCCAUGCCGCGUGUAUGAAGAAGGCCUUCGGGUUGUAAAGUACUUUCAGC